ACUUUCUAAAUAAGCUGACCUAAAAUGUGGCAGCAUAAUAUAUCCUGUAACACAGCACUACUGUCUGUAUGAUGUGAGACAGUCCCUUAACAUUAUUUUAUCAGUGUGCUUUAUUCAAAUUCAGUACAAAACAUCCUCGUGCCAUAAUUUGAAUUUACAUAUCAGAUUCACUUGUCUUUUAUCUAGGCUGAGUUGGAAGUUCUCCAGAGUACAGUGCAUGAUUUUUGUUUCUGCUCAGCUCUCGCUGGUGACUGACAGUUAUCAGCGUUUGCAUCAGCGUUAGGGUGAAGUGGCAGGUAUAAAAGGACGGACAGGUGGAAAGGUGGAGACAGUUGAAAGAAACAGCUGAAGACCGAGAUGGAGAAAACAGGGAUACUUAUACUCUGUGUCUAUUUGACCUUCAUGUUGCUGGGCUGCACUGAGGGGCAAAUGUCUACAACCGAGACCAACAACAGCACAGAAACAACCGCAUGGCAGUCCAGCCAAAAUACCACUCACACACCCUCCAUCACCCAGUCUACUCCAACCACCUCCUCCAGCACCACCUCCUCCACCUCCACCACCUCCUCCACCUCCACCAAUUCCUCCACUUCCUCCACUUCCUCCACAGCUACCGUCACAUCAUCAAAGCACACCACCAUGUCCUCUGGAUCCACUGAAACAGUUGGAACCACGUCGUCCUCCACUCAGCAAUCUACAGCUGGGACAAUCAAGCCUAACAGCACUGCCAAUACUCCAGCUACGACGACUUUAAAAGCAGGCUCUGCCUCCUCGUUCAGAUCCUGCAGUCAACUGCUGCUGGCUGUGAUCUCCGUUCUGAUCUAUGGUGUAUAGGGCUGAGAGCAUUUAAAAAAAAAAAAUACCUUUCCACAGUAGAAAUAUAUGAUUUUUGACAGAUCCUCUUAUUUAAUCUUUUGUUUAAUCUCUUACUGUCACGCAUAUACCAUGUCAGUACCACAUGAGUGCCAUGAAGUGCUUUGUUUGCUCUGAGCUCUUUUCUUCUUUUAACCAAGACAUUCUUAAGACGUAGGAUCGUAUGCUUGACAUGUCAAAAGUACAUACUAAUCACAGAGAGAAAGCAUAUAACAUAUGAAAGCAGUGUAUUGCAGUUUAUCUGUAUGUUUACUGCAAGCUGAUGGAUUCUAGGGAGUUAUUAAAGUCUGAUAAAUUUGCCUCAUUAAGUUCAAGUCAGUUUCAUGCUAAACUCUACAGUCAGUCACAGCCAUAAAAAGAUAACAAAAUAGCUGCAGGAAAGUGGUUAGAUGCACUUUGCUGAACAAAGGCAGGAGGGAUAAGAUAUCUCUUACAUAUUGAGGCUGAUUUCAUUUGGCUCAAUGUGAGGUUUUGCAUUUGUGGUUCAUAGCUGGGGUGGAGACUGAGGCCAGGCUUCCUGAAUGGAAACAGGUAUCAGGUGAAAAAUCUGAAAGCCUUAUAAAAGGCCAGCCUCUGGAAGAACACAUUUUUACAAAUCUAAGACUCUCAGUAAGGACACACAAGUGUACGACCACAGCAGCCCUUCAAAAGAAAAAGAAAUUGAGUAGUUGAUAAAAACAGUGAGGUUUCAUCAGGUUAUCUCCAGCUGCCCGUUUCACUUCAAGUGGAAAUCAUCCGCUAACCAACAUGAAGUACCUUGUCCUGGGGCUGUUUUCACUGUCUCUGCUGGGAUUUGUCUGUGCACAGAUCCCGGAGAAUACAUCACAGAGUGCUACUACAGCGAUGGCCUACAAUAGCACCUCCAGUACAACCUGGCCAUCCAAUAACAGCAGUACUAACGGCAUCAGUAAUAACAGCUCUACAGGAACCCCUCCCAGCAGUGCCAGGACCUCCACCACCACCACCACGACCACCACGACCACCACGACCACCACGACUCGACCUGCAGCUACACUGAGCCCCGUGAGCACCAUGACCACAAAGAAUGGAGACAGCCACGUUUUCACCUCAGUCAGUCUCCUGUUUGGAUCAUCUGUUCUUCAUGCACUCUGGCAAUGAGUGCCCCCUGGAGGCUCAGAGCUGGAGUGAGUCUUGAAACACAACAUUGUUUAACACACUGCACACCUGAGCUUUAUUUCAGAAUAUUUCCCAUGAAAGCAAACACAUUUUCAGCUGACUGCGUGACACAAGACUCUGGCAUUGAUAUGAAGGAAAAUGAUAUGAAAAAGCAGACGAUUAUGAAUUGACGAGUUGAGUUGUGGCAUGUUUGGUCUUGACGGUGGGAUAUUUUAAAUCACAUUUAGACUUUGUACAUACCACAGGUACCACAGCUAUUUAUUUUCCCAUGAGACAAUAUUUAUUCAAUCAGGAAUAUUGAACAUGUGUAAGCUUAAUUUAAAAUCAGUGAAUGAAUAGUCAUUUUUACCUGUGGGCAUGUCACUCUCUUGUAGCUGUACUGACCUUUCAAGCAAAAGUUUUUACGUGGGUGUGUAUUAGUAUAAUCAUUUGUACACUAGUAUUUGCUUUUUCUUGGUAUGUCCAAACACCAGUGAACACUGAAUGAAUAUUUACACAUAAUUUUAAACUACCAAUAUGUAAACCUUGUAUUUGCAAUAUUUGUUUUUCAAAAUAAAGAUAUUCUUCCAUCUUUAAUAUAACAUCAAAUAUAUGAUGGUUGCUUC